rnacentral:rRNA from 1 species
UCACCCUACGGGACGCAGCAGUAGGGAAUCUUCCACAAUGGGCGAAAGCCUGAUGGAGCAACGCCGCGUGGGUGAAGAAGGUCUUCGGAUCGUAAAACCCUGUUGUUAGAGAAGAAAGUGCGUGAGAGUAACUGUUCACGUUUCGACGGUAUCUAACCAGAAAGCCACGGCUAACUACGUGCCAGCAGCCGCGGUAAUACGUAGGUGGCAAGCGUUAUCCGGAUUUAUUGGGCGUAAAGGGAACGCAGGCGGCCUUUUAAGUCUGAUUUGAAAGUCUUCGGCUUAACCGAGG